GACGAACGCUGGCGGCGUGCUUAACACAUGCAAGUCGAACGGAAAGGCCCUGCUUUUGUGGUGUGCUCGAGUGGCGAACGGGUGAGUAACACGUGAGUAACCUGCCCUUGACUUUGGGAUAACUUCAGGAAACUGGGGCUAAUACCGGAUAGGAGCUCCUGCUGCAUGGUGGGGGGUGGAAAGUUUCGGCGGUUGGGGAUGGACUCGCGGCUUAUCAGCUUGUUGGUGGGGUAGUGGCUUACCAAGGCUUUGACGGGUAGCCGGCCUGAGAGGGUGACCGGCCACAUUGGGACUGAGAGACGGCCCAGACUCCUACGGGAGGCAGCAGUGGGGAAUAUUGCACAGUGGGCGGAAGCCUGAUGCAGCAACGCCGCGUGCGGGAUGACGGCCUGCUGGUUGUAAACCGCUGUCGCCUGUGACGAAGCGUGAGUGACGGUAAUGGGUAAAGAAGCACCGGCUAACUACGUG
rnacentral:rRNA from 1 species